UUCUUUCUCUGUACAACUUGGAAGCUUUCUCUCUCUCAAAGCAGCAAGGUCCUCCACCACCACCACCUCCAAUCUCCGUCUUUCAGGCAGAGAGAGAUAUUGUGUGUGAGAUCAGUUUUUGGUUCAUGGAUUCCUUUUCUCUUCUACACAAUUCCAAGCAUCUAUUCUUGGUUUGAACAAGUUUUGGGCUUUUGGUGAUGGUGGUGUAUGCGUGUUGGACGAGGUUUGGCUUCUCUUCCGGUGCUGUUUUCAUGCAUCCUUUCUUACAUGCAUGUUAGCUUAUCGUUUUUCUCUGUUCAUGGUACUUUUGUUGU